GGGGGUUCACUUCCGGCGGCAGGAAACGAAGCCAUGCUCAGGAAGAAGCUGGGACUCUACAACGGGCUCUGCAGGCCCACGUGACGUGUGCCCCGUGGCCCCUCCUCACACCCCGUUCCAGGGGCUUCUCCACCUCUGUGGGCUCCAUCCUGCCUCAGCAGCCACGUGUGGCCUGAGAUGUGGCAAGUGCAAGUGGAGACACGCUGUCCAUGGAAGGUCUAGGCCGGGUUUCCGAGUCUUAAUAGAAUACAACCUCCCACAGUGACUGUUUUCCGUACUGACGGCAGGCCGAAAUCAUCGUGCGGACGUGAUGGGUUAAGUAAGACACAUUAUUGCUAACUUUGCCCCCUUCCUUUUUACUGUCCGUCUGCUUACUAGAACGUUUAAAAUCACUUCUGUGGCUUGUCCUGUUAGUGCUACUGUGGAGUGGUACGUGUGAGAACACAGCAGCAACAAGGGACAAGGUGACGUGUCGGGGGGAGUGUGAGUGCGGUGUGUUUGCGAGGCUUCCCAGAGGACGGCUGCCCGAACUUAAGAGAGCCAGGGACGGGGAGUGGGGGAGGGGCGGACCCUACAGAAACGGGGAGCUCAGAUGGUGCCUUGGAGGGCGGGGAGCCACAGACGGGGGAGCGCGAGGGGUACCUGGAGGUCCAGCAGCCCCGUCAGCAGGGCCUUCCCAGCAUGCGCUGCAUUGUUCAGCAGGUCCUCCCGCUUGAUGAUGUUGAUGACCUCGGCCAGCAGCAGGUUCUUGGACGGGUCCCCCAGCCAGGUGUUAAAGAUCCGGUAUGGCUGGAACGAGGCCCAGGGUGUUGGAAGGGUUCAUACACGGGCACACCCUGGAGGGGCCCCACUUCCUUCAGACACGUGUCCGUCUUGGGAGGAGAGAAACCGGACCAACGAGCAUCUACCAAGGCCCGGGAGGAACUGAUACAUGAUGGCUGGAGCUCCAGCAGUGAUCUUGGAUCAUAAGGCAAUCUUGAGGGUGGAAAGCACAUGCAGGAAUAGCGGAAGAAAAGAUCCCGGGCCCCUGAUGACUGUGUGUGUAUGUGUGUGUAUGAGAACCCCUAUGUAUAUUUGGCAGUACAGUGUACUGGUUUAGAGCAUGGGCUCCUCAUUUGAAUCCUGGCUUCGUCACUUAACAGGCUGUAUGAACUUGGACAGUUUAAUUAACCUCUCCAUGCCUGGUUUUUCGUUGGCAAAAUAGGAGAGAAAAAUAACACCUACUUGGUUAGAUUGUUUUAAGGAUUAAAAGGACCUGAGAAGUACUUAGAAUGGGGCCAGGCACAGAGCACGUGCUCAGUUCAAAGCAGCGGCUAGUAACAACAUUAUCCUAUGGGCAGGAGACUGACAGUGGGCUCUGAGGAAGUUGCCCCGCACAAAGCUGGGUGAUCAUAACCACUGGUUAAUUACACUGGUAAGAAGUGGGUGUCAGGGGCCUUAUGUGACCUGGUCGGUGUCCACUCAGCUCCUGGUUUGGAGAAAGGAGUGGCGGGGAGCCAGGGUGGGUGGCUACUCACAGCAUUG